CCUACGGGAGGCAGCAGUGGGGAAUUUUGGACAAUGGGCGAAAGCCUGAUCCAGCAAUGCCGCGUGAGUGAAGAAGGCCUUCGGGUUGUAAAGCUCUUUUGUCAGGGAAGAAACGGUGAGAGCUAAUAUCUUUUGCUAAUGACGGUACCUGAAGAAUAAGCACCGGCUAACUACGUGCCAGCAGCCGCGGUAAUACGUAGGGUGCAAGCGUUAAUCGGAAUUACUGGGCGUAAAGCGUGCGUAGGCGGUUUUGUAAGUCUGAUGUGAAAUCCCCGGGCUCAACCUGGGAAUUGCAUUGGAGACUGCAAGGCUAGAAUCUGGCAGAGGGGGGUAGAAUUCCACGUGUAGCAGUGAAAUGCGUAGAUAUGUGGAGGAACACCGAUGGCGAAGGCAGCCCCCUGGGUCAAGAUUGACGCUCAUGCACGAAAGCGUGGGGAGCAAACAGGAUUAGAUACCCUGGUAGUCCACGCCCUAAACGAUGUCUACUAGUUGUCGGGUCUUAAUUGACUUGGUAACGCAGCUAACGCGUGAAGUAGACCGCCUGGGGAGUACGGUCGCAAGAUUAAAACUUAAGGAAUUGACGG
rnacentral:rRNA from 1 species